UAGUUUUUCUGCAUCAAAUACAAGAAACAGAGCGACAUUUUCUCAUCCCCUGUUAUGUGGCAGGCGAAUAUUUGGCCGUUUACGCUCCAUUGGAGACCAUUUCUGGGAGAACACGGCCCUCUCUAGGUUGGUGGCCGCCCGCCUGGCCACCCGCACCCACCUUGACCGCCGGCGCUGGGUCGAGGUCUGAGCUGGGGGGAGUGGGGCGGGGGCUGCCCCUCUGCUGGUUUUGGGCACCAAGGGCUGGAGUGGGGCUCCGCUUCUGGCCCAGUUGAUCAAGGAGGAAGACGUGGGAAGGUGGCCUUUGUGGACAGGAGGGCGGAGCCACGGUCAAGUCCAGGUUGGUCCAACUGUAAAGGCUGGGCUUGACCGCAGCAGCUCCGGCUCCUUUUGUUUUAGCAGAGAGGGCGGCGCCCGGGUUCCCUCCCCCGUGCCCUUCCGCCCCCAGAGUCCCGCUCAUGCCAGUCUCCGGAGUUCCUUGGGGGGUUGCUCUCACUUUUACACGUAUCCAAAACCAACAUAGCUUUGGUUUUUUGCUCGUGAAGAAAGGUCUUGAAAGCAUCGUUCUGGAUACUUCCUUCUGCAGCUUUUCAGUAUUGUUCCUCAUCCUUUUUUGGAGUUUGUGGCUGUGGGUGAAAAUUCCCCGCGGAGGAGAUGUGUUCCUUCCCCGCAGAGACCAGGGCACACGCUGCCAAUCACGGUUCCACGACGGUUGCACGACGGUUGCCGUGCUGACUGUUCCUGCUGCGGGGGCCGGCCUCCCCCGCAGGCCGUGCACACAGACGCACGUGUACCAGCGUUUCUCCCGGACACAGAACCUGAGCACCUGGGGCGACUCGCCUGCCCUUCCCCAGCUCUUGCCCUGCGCCGUCUAAGGCGAGCGCGCUGAGCUGCAAUCCGACGGCCACUGCAGAUGCUCUCCCCGCUGCCGAGCGUCCUGUGAAAUUUGGGGUUGACCCACCUCAAAGAUGUCCCUUGAAAAGUGAUCUCUUGGUUUCCGUUAUCAUUCUCCCAGCUAUUGGCAGGAACGCACACCUUUUCAGUGAGACCUGAACGUUUUGUUUCAUCUUCUGAGAAUCACCUGUUCGCAGUCUUGCGUCUCUUUCUCUUAGGUUGUCUUUUACUAUGUAUGGAUUUGUUUAAAAUAUUUUACAAAUGGGAUAAUUACAAGACUGACAAACCCUAGUGCCUAUGAUGCGUUAAGUGCUGUUUGGAGCAGACUAGAAGCGUCACCUUUUAUGAUCCGAGACAGUUUAUAGAUGAGGAAGCCGAGGCUGGGGGAGACCAGGGGUUUGGGGGUGGGGGGUUCCUACAGUUGCUGGGAGGUGACCCAAGGUCCGAGCGGCCAUUCACUGGAAAAUACCUGCCUCCAGGCUGUGGUUUCUCCCCACUUCCUUCACAGAGUGUUUGUUGAGGACAAGAGAACGUGCGUUUGAAUUUUAAUAGACUCGUUGUUACCAGACUCCUUUAAAGUCUGUAGUAGCUGUGCCUUGUUUAAGGAAGCUGUCCCCUCUCUAGGGCUCUGACAAUUUCGCCUGUCCUUUCUGCUUGGACUUUGAACACUGGGCUUCCCCUUUUACCUGUACGUCGAAUUUUGUUUUCAUAGACAGCUACUCUUUUUUACUUCAUUUUUCACUUAUUUAUAUUUAAUGUUAAUUUUCUAACAUUUUAUUUUGUUUAUUCAUUUCAUGUUCUACUUUUUAUUUAGUUCAUAUUUUCUUUGUAUUUUAUUUUUAGUUAUUUUUAUUUUAUGGAUUUUUAUUUGUAAGAAUUUAUUUUUUUAACUUGAUUUUUAAAUUUUAUUUUAUUUCAUUGUAUUUUUUAGACCAAUAGCCACCCUGACUUUGGGGAUCUCGUAACCAACUCUG
rnacentral:lncRNA from 1 species